CAUAACAGUUUUCAGAACUGUUUGGCUAAUAUACUGAGCUCUUAUGAAAGUCUGCGUUUUUAAUCACAUCUUUAUGUGCAGAAGAGAGGCUUUGAUAGUUUUGUUAAGGUUUUGUUGGUAAUCUGUCAAUGGGUAAUUGGAAGUGAGCUAAUUUAUUUAAACUGCUGUACUGACAUCACUUACAGGAAGCGCGAAAAUCGAAUGAAACGAAAUGAAAUGAUCUUUCAUGGUAAAAAAAAAAAAUUACCUCGAUUACAUUUAAUGUUUAAUAAUUUAAUACCAAUCACAUUGAAGAAAAAAUGUUCUGUGAUUUCAGGAGUGAAAAAAUAAUUCUACAACACCGGAGGGGGAAGAGCUGCUGACAGAGGAGAAACUUUAGGAAACUCAGAUUCUUCCAUGCUGAUGGCCUGCACUCCUGUCGAAGAAAAUCUCAGGCUAAAAACCAUAUAACCAGCUCGCUGAAGAAGUUACCAUAGCAACGGAUAGCGUAUCCUGCUAAUAUGGCGGCGCCUUCCCGAAAUGCAACGCGGAGUGAAAACAUCGUGACGUAACUCCUCAUUCUCUAUACUAUACUCGUCUGAACUGAACUAUAAGUUAGCGGAGCAGUUAAACAGAAUAAGUUAAUGAGUGUAAACGUUGUUUCCUGCACGACGAGGGAGACAUUGAGGACUAGAUAGCGCCCCAAAUACCCGUGAUAUUUGGGGUUCCUCUGGCUACGUGGGAGGUGCGUUUCAUCAGCGGGCGAGAGAGAGUAGACCGAGGAGCUGCGGGAGGCCUAAUACAGGAGUCCAGGAUUGCUGUUUGAUUCGCACCUGAAAAUUGAGGUACUAUUGUUUGUGCUCAGGAGAGUGAAGGGGCCAUUUUUCAGUUUCCCGGCCACCACAAACACGAGCUACGACCCAGGCCUGCAACGGUGUGUGUGUAUGUGUGUGUGUGUAUGUGGGCCCACAGUGUUUAAUCUUCUUUUACAUUGUGUUAUUCAGCGCGUUUAACAACUGUGAAUAUUCAAAGUGAUAUUUCUGACAUCCAGAGUGAAUAAUUUUGUACAUUUCAUUCCAAAUGAGUUCACUUGUUCAAUUAAUUCUGAGUGUUUUGAUACAGAGACCAUUUCUGUACUCCUGUCACCUGUGAUGUUGACUUUUUGGUGGUAAUUUGGUCAAAUUUACAGUCACUGUGAUUGUGUGAAUACAUCACUUUCAUUUUGGGCUGUUUUUGACACUCUAUUUCUGCUCU